rnacentral:rRNA from 1 species
UACGUAGGGUGCAAGCGUUAAUCGGAAUUACUGGGCGUAAAGCGUGCGCAGGCGGUUAUGUAAGACAGUUGUGAAAUCCCCGGGCUCAACCUGGGAACUGCAUCUGUGACUGCAUAGCUAGAGUACGGUAGAGGGGGAUGGAAUUCCGCGUGUAGCAGUGAAAUGCGUAGAGAUGUGGAGGAAUACCGAUGGCGAAGGCAGCCCCCUGGGAUAACACUGACGCUCAUGCACGAAAAGCGUGGGGGAGCAAACAGG